rnacentral:rRNA from 1 species
AACGAACGCUGGCGGCAUGCCUAACACAUGCAAGUCGAACGAGACCUUCGGGUCUAGUGGCGCACGGUUUCGUAACGCGUGGGAACCUGCCCUUAGGUUCGGAAUAACUCCCCGAAAGGGGUGCUAAUACCGGAUAAUGUCUUCGGACCAAAGAUUUAUCGCCUUUGGAUGGGCCCGCGUUGGAUUAGCUAGUUGGUAGGGUAAAAGCCUACCAAGGCGACGAUCCAUAGCUGGUCUGAGAGGAUGAUCAGCCACACUGGGACUGAGACACGGCCCAGACUCCUACGGGAGGCAGCAGUGGGGAAUAUUGGACAAUGGGCGAAAGCCUGAUCCAGCAAUGACGCGUGAGUGAUGAAGGCCUUAGGGUUGUAAAGCUCUUUUAACCGGGAUGAUAAUGACAGUACCGGGAGAAUAAGCGCCGGCUAACUCCGUG